ACAAACUCACUCCUAUUAACUGUUCCGCAGUGUUUCAGAGGGCUUGCUGCACUACAUGAACUCCAUUGUCAGUGUAAGCUGAAGACCACAACAAACCAAGCAAACGAGAUUUUGAUCUAGUGUGUCUAUUCAUUGUUAAAGUUUGAACCGAAGCACUGGUGAGCGGUCAACAGGAUGUACACGACGAGCUUCUCGUGUUAAGUGGAGCGGAAAUGUGUCUAGUGAUAUAUUCUCGUUGAGCUCGUCUGAGGCUAUAACAUGAUGUUAUUAUAUAACAGGAUUUAGAAGAGACAUUUGCAACACAUCCGAGAGCUAACCAAUAUGACGACGACCACGAUGGUGAUGACUUGUACAUUCCUGGUGAUGUUGUCCAUUACCCUAUCCGCCUCACAAGCCCUCACAAACGACGAUAUCAACAACAUCUGCGAUGCUGUCAGCGCCAUUGGCAACUGUUCGUCAUGUAACUGGUGUUCAGUGAGAGAAGGCUUUCCUUUAACAGUAAAGACGCUGUGUCGAAAUACGGCUUUUGCAGUGAGACGGUUCUAGGCUUCCAGUGUUCGAACAUCACCGACUUCUAUACCCAACACUGUUCAUCCAUCACCGCCUGGGCACAUCAGAUCGUGUGCCCCAUCGCACAACAGGCUGCUUCGUGCUUUGUUACAACGGCCUCACCUACAACGACGCCUACAACGACGCCUACAACGACUCCUACAACAACCCCUACAACAACACAAACUGCACUUCAAGGACCAGAGAUCGCUGAUCCAACGUUCCUGACCCCUUGUGUUCAACGAUGCGUCCGUAACGACUUAGUGGCAACUCUAUGCGGUAGUGGUGUGUUGACCGACGACUGUGUCAGUCUACUGGACCCAACACUUGAUGGUCGGUAUACCUGCUGUCAAGGAUAGCCAAGAUGAUGUCUCAUCACAGAUGCUUAACGCAAUAACAAUUUCUUCAACCUUCGGAGGAAGUCGCUGGGAGUCAAUUACAACCCUUGUUACAAUAGAAUAAAAUAGUUGCACACAA